CGCAUCUGUGCAUGCAGCAUAUCAAUAAGCGGAGGAAAAGGAAACUAACAAGGAUUCCCCUAGUAACGGCGAGUGAAGCGGGAGAGCUCAAAUUUGAAAUCUUAAAGGGUUUCCCUUUACGAAUUGUAGUUUAAAGAAGUGUUUUCUGUUGAGGUUUUGGUAAAAGUUCUUUGGAAUAGGACAUCAUAGAGGGUGAGAAUCCCGUAUUUGACCUUUACUUUCAACUUUGUGAUACACUUUCAAAGAGUCGGAUUGUUUGGGAAUGCAGUCCAAAAUGGGUGGUAAAUUUCAUCUAAAGCUAAAUAUUGGCGAGAGACCGAUAGCGAACAAGUACCGUGAGGGAAAGAUGAAAAGAACUUUGAAAAGAGAGUUAAACAGUACGUGAAAUUGUCAAAAGGGAAGCGUUUGACACCAGUGUUGUUUUUCUGAAAAUCAAUUAAAGAACUGUUUAUGCUAAGCUGUUUAGACUUUAUCAGCUAACUGUUUAGUUUUGAGCUUUUCUUUAAUGCACUUUUCAGUUAACAAGUCAACAUCAAUUUCUUUUGCUGUAAAAAGCUUGAGGAAGGUGGCUUGAGAUUCGUCCUUAAGUGUUUAUAACCUCUUGCCUAUGCAGUCGGAGAGAUUGAGGUCUGCAGCGUAGAUCCUUCGGGGCUAAAUGCAUUUGUGCUAAGUUAUAGCAUUUUAUAGACAACUUGUUGACUAUGAUUUGUCUUGUAGCUUACUCGCUUAUGUUAUUUUACCUACGCUUAGGAUGUUGACAGCAGUAUAGACUGU
rnacentral:rRNA from 1 species